rnacentral:rRNA from 1 species
UAAUACGGGGGGAGCAAGCGUUGUUCGGAUUUACUGGGCGUAAAGGGCGCGUAGGCGGUUAUGACAAGUCGGUUGUGAAAUCUCCGGGCUUAACUCGGAAAGGUCAACCGAUACUGUCAGACUAGAGUGCGGAAGGGGCAACUGGAAUUCUCGGUGUAGCGGUGAAAUGCGUAGAUAUCGAGAGGAACACCUGCGGCGAAGGCGGGUUGCUGGGCCGACACUGACGCUGAGGCGCGAAAGCCAGGGGAGCGAACGGGAUUAGAUACCCCGGUAGUCCUGGCCUUAAACGAUGGAUGCUUGGUGUCUCGGGUUUAUAGUCCCGGGGUGCCGGCGCUAACGCGUUAAGCAUCCCGCCUGGGGAGUACGGUCGCAAGACUG